CCGGCCUCCUCUGCUUAGCAACCGAUGAUGUCACCUCCGCCUUGACCAAUCAUGGACGUUACUCCAGGCGUGGGCGUGCCAGGCCGGGAUUCCCGGGGAUUCCCGCACGCGCGUUCCGGGAAACGGCGGCGGCUGCCGGGAAGAGACCGGGGCGGCAUCGGCCACACCGGGACCGUCCGGCAGCGACACGGUCCGGACCGGGACACGCUGCGAGCAGCACCAGGACCCGCACGGACCCCCGGAACCACCGGCGGGAAGAACCGGGAGCAGGACCGGGAGCCAGCAGGACCAGACCGAGACCCACCGGGACACAGCAGCACCCACCGAUCCCCGUGUCCCCGAUGUUGUCUCCUCCCAUUCGCCGCCUCCUGGCCCUGCUGGGCCCCGAGAGCGGGCGAUAGACGCUGGUGGGGGGGGCUGAUGUAGGCUUCUGCUCUCGGUGCGGGGGGACCCCGACCGGGGGGGCAGGACCCCCUUGAGGGGCUUUGGGAUCCCAUUUGGAGGGUUUGGACAUGGCAGGACCCCUUUGAGGGGCUUUGGGAUCCCAUUUGUGGGUUUGAUCAUAACAGGACCCCCUUGAGGGGCUUUGGGAUCCCAUUUAGAGGGUUUGGACAUGGCAGGACCCCCUUGCGGGGUUUUGGGAUCCGAUUUGUGGGCUUGGACAUAUCAGGAGCCCUUUGAGGGGUUUUUGGGAUCCCAUAUGGAGGGUUUGGGCAUGGCCCCCUUGAGGGGCUUUGGAAGUACUUGGGGGUGGCGGCAGGACCCGAUGGGGGGUUACAAGGCCAAUUUGAGGGGUCAGGACCCAAUUUGGGGGAGGCAGAAUCUGAUUUGAGCGAGGUCAGAAACCAAUUUGUGGGUCAGGACCCAAUUUAGAGGUUUUGAGCACCUGGUUUGGGGAAUCAGGAUCUGAUUUUGGGGCUCGACACACAGUUUUGGGAGUGGUCAGGAUCCCAUUUGAGGGGCUUUGGGAUCUGAUUUGUGGGUUUGGACAUAACAGGACCCCCUUGAGGGGCUUUGGGAUCCCCUGUGGAGGGUUUGGACAUGGCAGGACCCCUUUGAGAGGCUUUGGGAUUGAAUUUGGAGGGUUUGGACAUAACAGGACCCCCUUGAGGGGGUUUGGGAUCCCCUGUGGAGGGUUUGGACAUGGCAGGACCCCUUUGAGAGGCUUUGGAAUCCCAUUUGUGGGUUUGGUCAUAACAGGACCCCCUUGAGGGGCUUUGGGAUCCAAUUUGGAGGGUUUGGACAUGGCUGGACCCCUCUAAGGGGCUUUGGGAUCCAAUUUGGAGAGUUUGGACAUAACAGAACCCCUUUGAGAGGCUUUGGGAUCCGAUUUGGGGGCUUUGGACAUGGCUGGGGAGGGGGGCAGGACCCGAUGGGGGGUUACAAGGCCAAUUUGAGGGGUCAGGAUCCAAUUUGGGGGAGGCAGAAUCUGAUUUGAGCGAGGUCAGAAACCAAUUUGUGGGUCAGGACCCAAUUUAGAGGUUUUGAGCACCUGGUUUGGGGAAUCAGGAACCGAUUUUGGGGCUCGACACACAGUUUUGGGAGUGGUCAGGAUCUGAUUUGAGGGGAUUUGAGAUCUGAUUUGUGGGUUUGGACAUAACAGGACCCCCCUGUGGGGCUUUGGGAUCCAAUUUGGGGGGGGUGGACAUGGCAGGACCCCUUUGAGGGGCUUUGGGAUCCAAUUUGGAGGGUUUGGACAUAAAAGGAUCCCUUUGAGAGGCUUUGGGAUCCCAUACGGACAUAACAGGACCCCUUUAAGGGACUCUGGGAUCUCAUUUAGAGGGUUUGGACAUGGCAGGACCUGAUUUGAGGGGGUUUGGGAUUUGAUGUGGAGGGUUUGGACAUGGCAGGACCCCCUUGAGGGGCUUUGGGAUCUGAUUUGUGGGUUUGGACAUGACUUGGGGGGGGGCCAGGACACAAUGGGGGGUUGCGAGGCCAAUUUGAGGGGUCAGAACCCAUUUGGGGGAGGCAGAAUCUGAUUUGAGUGAAGUCAGAAGUCAAUUUGUGGGUCAGGACCCAAUUUUGAGGUUUUGAGCAUCUGGUUUGGGGAAUCAGUAUCCAAUUUUGGGGCUCAACACACAAUUUUGGGAGUGGUCAGGAUUGAUUUGAGGGGCUUUGGGAUCUGAUUUAGAGGGUUUGGACAUGACAUCACCCCUUUGAGGGGCUUUGGGAUCCAGUUUGUUGGUUUGAAUAUAACUGGGCGAGGGGGGGCAGGACUCGAUGGGGGUUGCAAGGCCAAUUUGAGGAGUCAGAAGGUGGUAGAAUCACCAUCUCUGGAUGUGUUUAAAAAAAAGACUGGACAUGGCACUUGGUGUUAGGGCAUAGGUUGGACUCGAUUAUCUUAGAGGUCCCCUUUAACCUCAUUAUUAUAUACUUAGCUGACCUCUUCAUCUACUUCAGAGCAAAGUUUCACUUGCUGUGAAAUUGUAUCUGAAACAUGAAGAGAUUUUGAUCAAUGUCUUUCUAAAAAAAGUAACAGUGAAACUGUAUUUAACAGUUACAGAUAUGAAACUGUGAGACUACUCAUGAAAAUUAAACCUUGACAAUAUAUAAAACCUAAAGAAGGUGCAUGGCAAAUAUUCCAAUCGUACCUGAAUCAGUGAUUUUGCCACAGUUCGACACAUCAAAUGGCAGCUUAAAGUCAUCAUCUGAGCAUCUGUUCAAACCCUGCACAAAUUUAAAAAUUAGUUCCUUAUGGGCAGAUUUGUAAAGAAAGAAUUAUUAAAUCCAAGGGAAAAAAAUCCCUACAGAUGAUGUGAAAAUAGAAUUGGUCAUUAAUAAAACAGCUGCCUACAAAUUUCAAAGCCCAAGGUAUUGGUAAUGGCUUUGGAACUCACUUCUUCCUGCCCAGUGGUUGAUCAAACUGUUGGUGUCCUGCAGUUUGAUUUAUAUACUGUGGCCAAAGGGGAGCUUUCAAUGCAGGGAACUCAGCAGCUCCUGCCUGUCUGGGCCCUGGUGCAUGGCAAAGGACUCAAGGAGAAAAAUUACUUUUUUGAAGACCAGUACUUGAUAUUUCUUUUUGGUUUACUUCCAAGGGCACUUCUAAACUAUAUCUGAUUAUGUUUCAGCAUGAAAAUACCCUUUUACAAGGUUUUUAAGUCACAGAAGUUCAUCCUGUAAACAGCUAACUCAUCUGCUGUCAGAAUAUCCUGUUGAAUCUCAACAUAUUUCAUAAGGAGCUUUGACAUGAAAAAAUAACUUGUUGAAUUCCCAUAACUCAGUGUGGGGACAGAACAUUUUCACUGCACACCUGAUCUGGUGAGACCAAGACACCAACACCAGUGCGAGCAUCUGAGUGGGGCCUGUGGGAAUCCAUCAAAUCAGAGGGGUUUGGGAAAGCUGCAAAAGGCAGCCUCAGAGACAGCAGAACUGUGAUUAGAGCCAAGCAGGAGCCAUGAGAUAGGUCAGCAGAAAAAUUAUUUAAAAAGUAGAAAAGGACAAACAGAACAAUGGUCUGUGUAUUAAUGCUUGUCUAGAAGAACUCCCUAAGUUACAGAAAAGUUUAUCUAGCGAGAUAUUAGGAAGUUCUAAGCUUAAUAAUGGAGCUCCGUGCAUUGUGUUUUAAGGCUUAAAAGCAGAUAUUGUAUUCAAAAUAAGCAAGCAUUGUUUUAACCAAAGGUACGUGUGCUUAUAGUGGUUGGAUAGAACUACUGUCAAUAUGCUUUUGCUUUGUGUGAUUGGUCAAAAAACUUUGAAAGUAAGUUGUAACAUUAAGUUCUUUGUCUGCUGCCUGGGAUGUGAGCUGCUGGCAUCUUCCCAUUGUCAUCACCAUGUAAUGAGACUGAUGCUGGAAAAGAAAACAGCUCAAGGCAGUUCCUCAGCAGUCCCGUCCCGUUUGUGAUUUGUACACAGACCCCGGCCAGCGAUAGAGCCCUGCUCGCUCUCUGGGCUCAAUUACCCACAUCAAACGCGGACUUACAGCACAGAGCGGAUGCUCGAGAAGAUGAUUCCCUUCAGUUUUGAUAGAAAACAACAACAAAAGUCUUUGAAAUUCAAACCGAAGAUGUCUGUGCAUAUGCCACUCCAGGCAUACGCACAGAAACGAGUCCAGCGCAGGAGCCGUCCCGGCCCAUGCAGGGGCAGGUGUGUGUGUGCUCCAGCUCGGGGCUCUGCCGGGCACUCCCCGGGCCCAGCACUGUCCCCGUGUCCCCGGGGAAGGGCCCCUGCGCUUUCCCCCCGUCCCUUCCUCAGCCGCGGCCUCCAGAGCAGCAGAGCCCGAGGGGGCGGCCGGGGAGGGGGGGUUUGGGGCCGCCCUCCGCGGCCCCGCGGCCGAGCGCUCACCUGGGAUCUGCCCGCAGACACCUGCCCAGCGCUCAGGCGCGGCGGCAUGAACAAUUUAAAGCGGUUUUCCUUCUCCAUAGCUCCGAUAAAAGGGCGGCCAGGGCUGCCCCAGCUCCCGGCGGCCGCUGAAGGCGGGCGCGAAGGGCGGGAAGCGGCAGCGGCCCCUCAGCGCGGGGACGGGGGCGCCGCCUAGCGGAGCUCGCAGGGCACGGCCUGCGAGCGGCCGCCGAUGGCUCCGCCGCCAGCCCCGAUGAUGGCCCUGAUGGCCCCGCGGCCGCCGUGACAGAGCGGGGGCCGUCAUCGGGGCCAGCGGCGGGGCCAUCGGCACCAUCGGGGCCAUCGGCGGGGCUUGCUCGUCGCCCGUGGACGCCAGGGAGGUCUCGGGGCAGCCUGGGGGCCGGGCGGGUUGGCGGUGUCGCCGUGGUCGCCGGCCGGGGAUAGCACAGCGGGACUUAGGCCGUCGCGGGGAAGGCAGGAGAGGUCUGAGGAGAAGGGGAGGUCCCGCCUGUACAGGGAAUAACUGGGGGAGCCCAGUCCUCCUGUGGGAAAAAUGAGUAUUUUAUGAUUGGCUUUUCGCAAAUAUUCAAAUGAAUAUUAUAUGUGUUAUGUCAGAAAGUUAUGCUGUAUUAAUUUUCUUAAGUAAUGUGUUAAAUCUAGUUUUAGGUUAUAACGUAAUUUUAAAAUAGAAACCAUGCUAUGUGAGAUACUGUUUCUAAAGAAAGGACUUGCAGCAAGAUAGCAGCCACAGGACACCUAAAUCUUUCAGAGAAAGAUAAUUUGUUGCUCUCUUAUCAGAAGAAACAAACUUCUUCCUGCCUCACUCAGCCCUGAAGACGCCGUCAGGAUUCAGAGGAAGAAGCUGACACUGACCAGACAGAAUCCUUGGUUUGAAUGGAAUUUAUGCAUCAUGUAUGAGGUGUAUGAUGAGGUGUAAUAUGCAACAGGUUAUUGUUUUUAAGGGUUAAUCCUCUGGUAAAGUGUGUCUUUUUUCAGGCUUAUUUUCCCCAGAAAAAGGUACCCGGAUGUCCGUAACUCUUUGUUUCUAUUGUCUCAUAUUGUCCUAAUCCAAAUUAUCCAAGUUAUUAUUACUCUACUUAUAUUGCUAUUUUAUAACCAUUUUAUUACUAUUAAACUUUUAAAAUUUUAAAAAACAA